AUUGAACGCUGGCGGCAGGCUCAACACAUGCAAGUCGAGCGGGGAUAGGGUGCUUGCACCUGAUUCCUAGCGGCGGACGGGUGAGUAAUGCUUAGGAAUCUGCCUAUUAGUGGGGGACAACAUUCCGAAAGGAAUGCUAAUACCGCAUACGCCCUACGGGGGAAAGCAGGGGAUCUUCGGACCUUGCGCUAAUAGAUGAGCCUAAGUCGGAUUAGCUAGUUGGUGGGGUAAAGGCCUACCAAGGCGACGAUCUGUAGCGGGUCUGAGAGGAUGAUCAGCCACACUGGGACUGAGACACGGCCCAGACUCCUACGGGAGGCAGCGGUGGGGAAUAUUGGACAAUGGGCGGAAGCCUGAUCCAGCCAUGCCGCGUGUGUGAAGAAGGCCUUUUGGUUGUAAAGCACUUUAAGCGAGGAGGAGGCUACUUAGAUUAAUACUCUGGGAUAGUGGACGUUACUCGCAGAAUAAGCACCGGCUAACUCUGUGCCAGCCGCCGCCGUAACAC
rnacentral:rRNA from 1 species